UCCUUAUAUAGCGCAAUUGAGAGCACUUUGGACUUCUAAUCCAAAGGUCGUGGGUUCAAAUCCCACUUGGAU